rnacentral:rRNA from 1 species
GACGAACGCUGGCGGCGUACUUAACACAUGCAAGUCGAGCGGAGCGGCGAACGGGUGAGUAACGCGUGAGUAACUGCCCCCCUCUCUGGGAUAACGGUUGGAAACGGCUGCUAAUACCGGAUAGUGGGGGAUGACUCGCGUCCUAUCAGCUUGUUGGUGGGGUAGUGGCCUACCAAGGCGACGACGGGUAGCCGGCCUGAGAGGGCGACCGGCCACAUUGGGCUGAGAUACGGCCCGAACUCCUACGGGAGGCAGCAGUGGGGAAUAUUGCACACUGGGGGAAUCCCUGAUGCAGCAACGCCGCGUGCGGGAUGACGGCCUUCGGGUUGUAAACCGCUUUCAGCCAUGACGCGGUAGUGGCGGCCGAAGCACCGGCUAACUACGUGCCAGCAGCCGCGGUCCUUC